rnacentral:rRNA from 1 species
UACGAAGGGGGCUAGCGUUGCUCGGAAUCACUGGGCGUAAAGCGCACGUAGGCGGACUCUUAAGUCGGUGGUGAAAUCCUGGAGCUCAACUCCAGAACUGCCUUCGAUACUGAGAGUCUCGAGUCCGGGAGAGGUGAGUGGAACUGCGAGUGUAGAGGUGAAAUUCGUAGAUAUUCGCAAGAACACCAGUGGCGAAGGCGGCUCACUGGCCCGGUACUGACGCUGAGGUGCGAAAGCGUGGGGAGCAAACAGGAU